rnacentral:rRNA from 1 species
GAUGAACGCUGGCGGCGUGCUUAACACAUGCAAGUCGAACGAUGAAAGCGGGAGCUUGCUCCUGCUGGCUUAGUGGCGAACGGGUGAGUAACACGUGAGCAAUCUGCCCGAACUCUGGGUUAAGCGUUGGAAACGACGUCUAAUACCGGAUACGACGCGCGAAGGCAUCUUCUGCGCGUGGAAAGAAUUUCGGUUCGGCAUGAGCUCGCGGCCUACCAGCUAGUUGGUGAGGUAACGGCUCACCAAGGCGACGACGGGUAGCCGGCCUGGGAGGGUGACCGGCCACACUGGGACUGAGACACGGCCCAGACUCCUACGGGAGGCAGCAGUGGGGAAUAUUGCACAAUGGGCGAAAGCCUGAUGCAGCAACGCCGCGUGAGGGACGACGGCCUUCGGGUUGUAAACCUCUUUUAGUAGGGAAGAAGCGAAAGUGACGGUACCUGCAGAAAAAGCACCGGCUAACUACGUGCCAGCCGCCGCGGUAACAC